rnacentral:rRNA from 1 species
CCUACGGGAGGCAGCAGUGGGGAAUUUUGGACAAUGGGGGCAACCCUGAUCCAGCAAUGCCGCGUGAGUGAAGAAGGCCUUCGGGUUGUAAAGCUCUUUUGUCAGGGAAGAAAAGGGUCUGGCUAAUAUCCAGAUCUGCUGACGGUACCUGAAGAAUAAGCACCGGCUAACUACGUGCCAGCAGCCGCGGUAAU